GGAUCGAUGAUGAUUUCCCAUCAAACAUUCCUUGGAAAAGCUGAACAAAGUGAAUUUAAACUCUGUACUGCAGUUCUCAUUGAAACUGACGUCC